AAAGUUGGGCAACGUUACAGAAGUUAGUAGUAUCAUUUCCGAGGAGAAAGAAAUACUUCGUAAGCGGAAUAAGAUCCUUAAGAUAGCUGAUAAACACGGUUGGGACACAGUAAAGGAAUAUUUGGAUAGUCCGUUGGCAGAAAAUAAAGAAGAUGCUAGUGAUUUACGCGCUGCUAUUUCUAGGGCUGCUAGAAAAAGAAACUAUAAGCCGUACAAUAAACCCGAUGCUGCAAACAGUGGUUCCAGUCGAGGAAAAUUUAAUUCCAGAAGCUUUUUUCGUGGCCUUAGCCAAGUCGGUGGUACAGACGGAGUCAAAGAAACAUACAAGUGCUUCUACUGCAAUCAACCCGGGCAUUUCGCACGGAACUGUCCCCAAAGAAGUACCCCUACAGCCACUUUUAGUGCACCAAAGUUCCAGCAGGAUCAACACACAGGAAAGACACAGUAACAGCACAGAAACUGACGAAG
rnacentral:lncRNA from 1 species